rnacentral:rRNA from 1 species
UACGAAGGGGGCUAGCGUUGCUCGGAAUCACUGGGCGUAAAGGGCGCGUAGGCGGGUUUUUAAGUCAGGGGUGAAAUCCUGGAGCUCAACUCCAGAACUGCCUUUGAUACUGAAGAUCUUGAGUUCGGGAGAGGUGAGUGGAACUGCGAGUGUAGAGGUGAAAUUCGUAGAUAUUCGCAAGAACACCAGUGGCGAAGGCGGCUCACUGGCCCGAUACUGACGCUGAGGCACGAAAGCGUGGGGAGCAAACAGG